rnacentral:rRNA from 1 species
UACGGAGGGUGCGAGCGUUGUCCGGAAUUACUGGGCGUAAAGCGCGCGUAGGCGGCUUUGUAAGUUAGAGGUGAAAGCCCGGGGCUCAACCCCGGAAUUGCCUUUAAGACUGCAUCGCUUGAAUCCGGGAGAGGUGAGUGGAAUUCCGAGUGUAGAGGUGAAAUUCGUAGAUAUUCGGAAGAACACCAGUGGCGAAGGCGGCUCACUGGACCGGCAUUGACGCUGAGGUGCGAAAGCGUGGGGAGCAAACAGG